UUUUAAAAGAGCCAAACGGUGCACAGGUGUAUGUAUGGGAAGUAAAAAAUCGUAACAAGGUUUCCGUAGGUGAACCUGCGGAAGGAUCACUAGUGAUUAAAUCGAGAGUGUCUUCAUUGACCUCUCACCCUUCACAUCCACAUACACCUGUGCACCGUUUGGCUCUUUUAAAAGACGCAAGUCUGCAAAGAGAGUCAUCAAUUUUAUACAUACCCCAGUCUUAUGAAUGUAACAGUUUUAAUAAACAUAAUAAAACUUUUAACAACGGAUCUCUUGGUUCUCGCAUCGAUGAAGAACGCAGCGAAAUGCGAUAAGUAAUGUGAAUUGCAGAAUUCAGUGAAUCAUCGAAUCUUUGAACGCACCUUGCGCUCCUUGGUAUUCCGAGGAGCAUGCCUGUUUGAGUGUCAUGAAACUCUCAACCUUCAACUUUUUUAUUAAGGCUGAAGGCUUGGACUUGAGCGCUGCUGGUUUUCACUAACCGGCUCGCUUGAAAUGAAUUAGCAGAUCCUUUUUGUAAUCGGUUCCACUCGACGUGAUAAGUAUUUCGCCGAGGACAUACGAAAGUAUGGCCGAGAUAAGAGAAGUCUUUUAGAUCCGCUUCUAAUUCUUAGAUCAAGCUUGCUUGACUAAACCCCAUUUUAUGAUCUGGCCUCAAAUCAGGUAGGACUACCCGCUGAACUUAAGCAUAUCAAUA
rnacentral:rRNA from 1 species